AAGACACAAGAGGGGUGCCUUCGUCGGGAAAGACCGGAAAGGCUGAGAUCAUACCCUAUGAACCUGAAGCGGUUAGGACCGCCGGAGGAACUUGUUCAUAGACCGUA
rnacentral:ncRNA from 2 species